UCCCUCUUUCUCUACCUCCCUCCCUCUCUUCUCUAGUCAUCAUCUUCUUGCCAACUCAUUGACUCACAUUGGAGCAUUUGCUGAAGCUAAGCAAAAUAAGAGAAAAGCAUACAAUAUCUAUAGGACUAAAUUUGGCCCAGAUCAUGCACGUACUGUUCAGUCUUAUAAAAAACGUGAGGUAUAUCACUGAAAAGCAAGUCUCUUAUGACCAGACUGAGAAGCAACUGAUGGUGAGACUAGACCUGUAGGAAGAGGAACGGCUACACGUAAUAGAGAAGCAACUGAUGGUGAUACUAGAGCUGUAAGAAGAGGAACAGCUACACGUAAUAGAGAGGCAACUGAUGGUGAUACUAGAGCUGUAAGAAGAGAAACAGCUACACGUAAUAAUGCAGAGAUAGCCGUUACAGUUGAUGGUACAUUAAAGGUCUUCCAGUCCAUUCUCAUUGACUUAAUUGCAGACUUCUUACUAGCUCUUGUUGUUCACAGAGACUCGUGGCAGAUAUAUGAUGCUAUUGUAAUUCAUCCUUGUGAGCCAGGAGUAACUGAAUGGAUCAAUGUCUACAACCUAAAAUGGUGCGUCUUGUAGUGACGGACCAUUUCCUGAUCUUUGUUGGACGGGACAGGGUCACCACUCCCUUGUAUAUCGGGAUUUGUGUAUUUUAAUGGGAUUUAUGGAUAUUUACCGUGCGUCUUGUAGUCACGGAUGCUUGUGUUACAGAAAAUUGGCUACUGGCAAGGACAACCUCAGCCUGACAUGUGUUAAUCAUUUGAUUGUUGACUGUUGAGUUGGGGGACUACUGUUUGUUAUCCAUUGUACCUGUUGAAUGGACACAAUGCAGUAUCAGAACUUACUUGUUCAAGUAAUUAGGUAAUUUUAUCUCCCUUCUCUCAUUCCAGACUUGGUUGCAAUGGAAGUUGAUGUUCUCGUUUUCCUGGUGUAUGGCAGCUUAAGUGAAGCAUGGAUUUCAACAAAUAAGCGAGUAGGAAACUUGCCAUUAUUGAUUCUUCCAGAUAGCACUGCUAUUUUUCCAUUACUAA